rnacentral:rRNA from 1 species
AGCUCCAAUAGCGUAUAUUAAAGUUGUUGCGGUUAAAAAGCUCGUAGUUGGAUUUCAGUUCUGGACUGACGGUUCACCGCCCGGUGCACACUGUCACGCUCCGAACAGCCACAACAGCCCGCUGGCUCGCACGGGGUGCUCUUCAUCGAGUGUCCCGCGUGGCCGGCAGAGUUUACUUUGAAAAAAUUAGAGUGCUCAAAGCAGGCUACACUGACGGCCUGAAUGCCUAUGCAUGGAAUAAUGGAAUAGGACCUCGGUUCUAUUUUGUCGGUUUUCUGAACCCGAGGUAAUGACUAAUAGGAACAGGCGGGGGCAUUCGUAUUGCGACGCUAGAGGUGAAAUUCUUGGACCGUCGCAAGACGAACUACUGCGAAAGCAUUUGCCAAGGAUGUUUUCA